ACAUAGCUAAUAAGCAGAUUGACAGAACAUUUGCCUUUGAUAAGGUGUUUGGUCCAACAUCCCAACAGAAGGACUUGUAUGAUUCUGCAAUAUGGCCAAUUGUUUUUGAAGUUCUAGAGGGAUAUAACUGCACCAUUUUUGCUUAUGGGCAGACAGGAACAGGGAAAACUUAUACAAUGGAGGGAGGGGGAAGAAAGAAGAAUGGGGAA
rnacentral:misc_RNA from 1 species